rnacentral:lncRNA from 1 species
CUAGAAAUAAUGUUUAACCACUUAUCUGGGCAUACUGAGGCCCAGUCAAUUUGACACAUAAAAUUAACUAUCACAAUGUGAUUCUAUGAUGUAAGAAAAUUGCCUUUAAACAGAAAGUUAAAAAGUUGCCUUGGGGUAGAAAUGUCAUCAUAUAUAGGGGUGUGUGUGUAUGUGUAUAAUAUAUAGUCAAAUUUAUUUCUCAAGAUUAAAAUAUCAAUUGCUUAAUAUACUUUUCAAAAAUUCCCCUCAAAUCAUACUAUCAAACUUGCACUUUUUGGGAAGCUCUUCUUCCUUAACACAUAUAUUUAGAUCACUCCUGAACUGUGCAUUCACCUGAUAAGAAAUCGGUAUGCAUUUGUUGAUUCAUGUAUACCCAUGUGUCUGUCCCCUAACUAGAACCUUCAAGGAUAAGAAUAAGCUGCUUAGUUUUCAUUUAUUCAGAGUGCCUAGGAUAGGGCUCUAAGUACAAAAGGACUUCACAUGUAGAUGUGCUCUGUCAUCAUUUAUAUAUUUUCCAGUUUACUAAUAGACGAAUGUUUCUUCUCCUCUAAGCAAUUUCUUUCCCUAUACUCUAUUUAGUUUCAUGAUUUUUAAGAAGUGACAUUUGCAAUUGCUUAAAUACUUCCUGUCAAUAGUCUAAGUUGUUCAAAAGAUGAGUUGAACUUUAGGUGAUAUUAUUUUCUGGAGAGAACUUUAGUCUCAUUUGAUACCAUACCCCAAGAAAAAUAUGCCGUGCCAUUUCAGACAGAUUUUAAACUUCCUGUUUAUCCCUCCUCCAGUGUGCCAGCUCCUCUGCAGAAUGAAAUGUCUCCAAAUCGCUGAGACUGUAAUUUCCAUGACAGUGUCGUCCAUCUCAUUUCUUGCCUGUCCUUUCAGUUUUAUGAAGGUGGAGCUGCAUUCCUGCAAAAUAUCCUGGUGGGAAGCCUAGCCCUUGAUUGGAGUAAGAAGAAGAUUGAGAUUUUUCCUUUCUGUUGGGUAUCAAGAACAGAUUUCCUUAUAGGUGACCAUAUUUACAGUUAUAUUUCAGAUUAAGUUUUUUGUUAUUGUAGUUUUAUUGUUUUCGGUUUUUUCCUGAACUUUAAUUCCUCUGUUGCCCUAAGCUAUCCGUCAAGUUUUUACUUUUUAUAAAUGUUAAAAAGCUUUGUGAAGUUAGAAAGCAGAAUGAUGUUAUCAUUUUGGGUAAAACAGAAUGCGAAGAGCCACAGCAACUCAUUACGCAAUGAGAGGCUGUGAUUUCAGGAGCUGAGCACGUUAGGUGCCAGUCUGUCCUAUGAGGUUAUGGAUGAAAAUCAAGCUGAAUCUGUGUAAUGUGAAAUUCUUCUUCACAGAUGCCCAGAGAUAUCAGGGAAAGAAAAACAGUAAAGGACUGGACUUCUU